AUCGCCAGUAAGCAGCAUUUAUUCAUUUUCAUUUUUUGCAAAAAAAGAAGAAAAAAAACUAACAAUUUUAAAGUGCAGUAAACAUAAGAACAAAGUGAUAAUUUUUGUAGGUGCACUAUGCUAUAGUUCGUUAGGUUCAGAAGCUAGUGUAAGUGUUUUAAUUAUCUCACCUCCGGAAACACCGAAUUGAACACAGACCGACUAAACACGAAUGCUCCCUCAAAUGCCUUUACUUUUGGAAGAUGUCCAAAUUAUUUGUCAUGCCCAAAUUUCUGCUGAUCUCAGCUUUGGAAGACUGUCAAAAUUGAAG
rnacentral:sRNA from 1 species